UACGUAGGGGCCUAGCGUUGUCCGGAUUUAUUGGGCGUAAAGAGCUCGUAGGCGGUUCGGUAAGUCAGGUGUGAAAUCUCCACGCUCAACGUGGAGGCGCCACCUGAAACUGCCGUGACUCGAGUCCGGUAGGGGAGUGUGGAAUUCCUGGUGUAGCGGUGAAAUGCGUAGAUAUCGGGAGGAACAUCUGUGGCGAAGGCGACACCCUGGACCAGCACUGACACUGAGGCACGAAAGCGUGGGGAGCAAACAGG
rnacentral:rRNA from 1 species